rnacentral:rRNA from 1 species
CAGCCGCCGCGGGAAUACGUAGGGGGCAAGCGUUGUCCGGAAUUAUUGGGCGUAAAGCGCGUGUAGGCGGCUCAGCAAGUCCGCUCUGAAAGCCCAGGGCUCAACCCUGGGAUGCGGGUGGAUACUGCUGAGCUCGAGUCCGGAAGAGGCGAGUGGAAUUCCUGGUGUAGCGGUGAAAUGCGCAGAUAUUAGGAGGAACACCAAUGGCGAAGGCAGCUCGCUGGGACGUGACUGACGCUGAGACGCGAAAGCGUGGGGAGCAAACAGGAUUAGAGACCCCAGUAGUCCCUGUCUCUUAUAC